rnacentral:rRNA from 1 species
UACGUAGGGGGCUAGCGUUGUCCGGAAUCAUUGGGCGUAAAGCGCGUGUAGGCGGUUCGGUAAGUCCGCUGUGAAAGUCGGGGGCUCAACCCUCGAAUGCCGGUGGAUACUGUCGAACUAGAGUGCGGAAGAGGCGAGUGGAAUUCCUGGUGUAGCGGUGGAAUGCGCAGAUAUCAGGAGGAACACCCAUAGCGAAGGCAGCUCGCUGGGACGGUACUGACGCUAAGGCGCGAAAGCGUGGGGAGCGAACAGG